UCACUUAUUUAAUGGGCUUUACCAAUGAUUUGUCCUAAUUCCUAUUACUUUUGUCGUAUGAUAUUCCACCGCCUUCCCAUGACCACCGUCCGCUUCUCCUCGACAUUCAAUCUAUGUAAUUAAGAUCUUUCAAUCCAGCCAUCCAAUUACUUGAUAUUUAACUCACAAUAAUCAUCGCCAGUUUCGUCUUCUUCUCUGAAACGCCAUCACUUACCAAUAUGAAUCACAUGUACAAACAGAGUAAAAGAGAGAAACAUAGAGAGAGAUAGAUAGAGAGAGAGAGAGAGAGAGAGAGAGAGAGAGAGAGAGAGAGAGAGAGAGAGAGAGAGAGAGAAUGGAGUUUACUAAGAUAGAGAUGGGGGUGUGACUUCUUCAACUGCGGUGAAGGUGGCGCUCUUCCGCCGAAUCAGUUAACUUACAAGACAACGCGGAUCAUCUUUUUCUCAAGCGCCAAGGAACCAAAAUUGUCGCCAUGUACAUCAUGUAUCCUAGGUAUCUCACAAACCUUCUAUAUUCGCAAGGGAAUGCUGCUGAUACCGGUCCGAUGUUGGAGCUCCAAUCGAGCUUACUGUUCAGCUUUGUGUCAAUUUGAUAGGGAGAAACACUUCACUCAUUGAUUAUUGCCAAAGCAAUGACAGACAUAAAAUACAUCCAGAUCGACGUUGGCAAGACAUUUAAGGAACAAGUCCUUCGUUGGUUUACUCUUCACAACAUUCCUCAAGCUGAUUCUAUGAUUUUGACUGAUGAACAUGCUGGUGAUGUACUUGGCUUGGAUUAUAUUUGUUCUGUACAGCCAUUCAGUCCUACUGAUGAUAUAGAUUUUACUCCAAUCUUCAUAUUGAAGCUGCAAUGAUCACAUGCUUUUCUGAAAACAACCUUGCUGCGAAGUUCCCGUAUCUGGUCCAGAAGAAACUUAAAGAAGGCCAAGAUGUUAGGCGAGCGAACACAGCUGGAUUGGAAUGUAAUCAAAGAAGAUUGCAAGAAGCCAUUUGUAGCUUCAUACUUAUCAUUCACGGCACUUCCAGUAAGUUUCUCAAAGCCUCUGUAGAAAGAGUGAAUCAUACCUCGCUGCUUGAUCUAUGUGGAGACUCAAAUCUUAUUUAUGUUUUAAGUGAUGCAUGGAGAAUACAACGUCUAUCUUGGCUUCUUUUUUUGGAGAAAAUCCAGAGUGGCUUAUAUCUCCGAUGUAUCACGUUCUUCAUCAAGCACUAAGUAUGGUAAGUGUAACAAAGUGCUUAGUGUGUGUUACUGGUGGUCACAAUUGGAUCUCCUUAUCUUGGAUUCAAUAUAUAAGGUAAUAUAUGCAUCCUUUUGCAGUGAAGUUUGAUUUUUUACGUUUACUUUAUGCUUAUGCUUUCACAUUCUCUCUUUUAUACUGACUGCAGAAAGAAUCCCACAACACUUAUUUAUGUUUCCUGCAGGUUAGCUUACUUUGAAGGUGUGUUAUUUAAAAAAAAAAGGUUUAUGUCUUGCUUACUUUUGUUUUCUGUAGACAGUAGAGACAACCAAAAGACUUGAACACGAAAAGGGCUCUUUUAAUUGGAAUGACUAGCGAGUUUGAUCACCCCAAGGACAAAGAAUUUCUUGAAGAACGGUCUAAAAGGAAGGGAAAGGAUUUCAGUAAAGCUUGCGAUGGCUCAAGAAUCUCGAUUGAUUUAUGAAUAGGCAAGAAAAUAUCAUUGGGCAUUUCUUAUUUAGAAACUAAGAGUAUUACAUUUGUGGUUUCACGUCUGGUUCAAUAAAUCUCUUUACGUUGAAUAUCAUAAGUAAUAAGAUGAGGAUGCUUGUGUGGGCCUUCUUGUCUUAAAAAACAAAGGGAGCUAGAGACAGAAAUGCGAAACGGAUGUCCUGAAGAUACACUAAAAGUUAUUUUCGUUGCUUUUAAAUUUUAACUCUGUCUAAAGUUGAGAUUA